AAAAAAAAAAAAAAAAAAAAAAAAAAAAAAAAAAACAUAUUCUUUGCAGCACCAAACCCAAGAGAGUGUUUGUCUUUAUUUUAAAUGAAAGCAUUCCAACAACAACUCAGCACACAACAGUUUCUGCUCAAUCUACAGCACAUACUAAGUGCUCUCUGCCUGCCUGCACCACGUAUUUUGUUCUGGACACAGGCCCUGCUCUUGCUCACUUACCACACAUUUGCCAGGGCCCUCCCUGCAGACACAGACUGCCACCUUUGUAGCCUCUUUAUCCUACCCCCCUGCACAGACCCCUCGGUGGUGGCUGCCUGUCUAAUCAAGAAUGCUGGUGUGAGUGAGCAUGCAUGCACAUAUAUUUAAUAAUAUGGGUAUGUAUGUCACAGAUCACAAACUUUCAGUAACAGCAAAGGCGUUAUGGGUGAGCUUCCUGCUGCUCCUUAGAAAAGAACAAGAAUUAUUUGCAUCAGCAAUGAGCCCAGCAUCAUGGAACAGAAACCUUACCCAAGGCUUCCCAGGUACGGAAGCCUUAAAAAUGGAGGCUUGAGCAAAUACCAAACCUGCAUCUGUCCUUGCUGGUUGCUUCUAAAAAGAGCUUGCAGCUGCCAGAGGCUGUGUAACCUCGGGAGUGAUGAGAGCAGUACCGGCUACCUGAUAGAAGAUGACACUGAACACGGCCCCUAUAUUGUAUCUUCUAGAGUCAUCACUCAUCACUGCUUCUUCACCUACAGACCUUUGCUGAGCGUUGGAGAUUCCGGUCCUAUUUUCCAUUUUUGCAUGGCCCCAGCAGAGGCACUCUUUAGACAUGUCACAGCACCACCUUCACCAAACGGGCAGGAAAAGCACCGCAUUCACCAACAGAACACCAGCUCAUCCUAAAACUGCACCUACCGCACUAUCAAAGCCACGCACAGCUCCUGUGGCUCCAGCACUGCGGACAAGCAUCAAAUACAGCCCUGGUGUGCUAAGUCGUUCCUUACCUCCACACACCCUACGUGUGGCUGGGUAAGAGGAACAGUGAGAGGUGAAAACCAUCCAGAAAAUUGCAGCUUCUACUUAUCUGCUUUUUCUCAACAGAUAAAAGGCUCAGAUCCAAGUUACCUGCCUCAGCAGAGGACCUGAAGUCCUGCCGGACCUACCUGUGUCCAGGACGCAUGCACUGCUCAUCUUGCUUGAUAGGACCUGGGAGAAAGAGCAAAAUAACAGGAGAUUCUGCACGUUUCUUCUAUGAAAGAACUGAGAAGUGAGCGAUCAAAUCCAAACCAGAGACUA